UAUGGAUAUGACGUGAUUGUACCGAGUGGGUGGAGCUUAAGAGUUCUUCAGAGUGGCUUAGUUUGAACUUUUCGGAUGAGUUUGGAUUUUUUUAUUGUUCCAGUUUAAAAGAAGACAUCUUAUACAGUUGUACAUGAUUGACGUCAGGUGAUCUACAGCAGAUCUUGCUCCACCCACACCGUUUUCUUCUGCUCUUCCAGGAUCUUGUCCUUAAUGAGCCUGAGGAGCUCCUCCACCCCGCUCCAGGAGUCGGGUUCCACGGUGGCAUAGAGACACGGCAGGGCUUCCAGCUCUUUCUCCUUAGCACGGCACAUCUUCAGGAAAUCCUCCUCCUGAGGGAAGGAGUCCACCUUCAGAAGCAGCCUCCUGCAAAACGUUCAGUGACGUACAGUAUGUCUUCAGCAAACCAUCAACAGAAGCUGAGCAGAAAUGAACUUUGAUUGAUGUACUCUUAGAAGAAAAAGUCUAUGAGUAGUGGAAUCUAUUGAUCAUAAAGCUAUUAUAUGAGCCUUCAGACCCAUGGGUGAGAAUGAAACAAAGCAGACUGGAUCUGUCAUGCUUACCCUCAGGCUUCAUGGUUUCAAAGCCCGAUUUGGGAAGAGAUGACAGAUUGCCAGCGUUGAGGAUGCGCACACGAUCAUUGCUGUCCAUCCUCUUGUACUUGUUAUCUGCCCUGCUGACAAACUGACACCAAGGAUCUCGAUCAAUCUCUGCAGCACACAGCCAUCAUCUUUACCCAGACCUACUCUCUCAUCCUGUCUAAGUCAGGCCAGAGGCACAGUUUUACCUGCAGGAUCUGACAGAUGAAGAUGCUGGCUCUGGACAGGCGUGGACUGCACUUAGGGUCUGAUGGAGCAGCUUCCUCAGGCUGCAACGUAUUCUGAGGACAAAAAAGGGGAAAAAAACCCACCCCACGAUUGUAUUGGGAUUCACGCUCGGCUGCACUUUGUUCCAUUAUGUUUUUGCCAAAAAAAACUGAAGCAAUUGUCUAACCCUAAGUCCCCUCAGACUAUCUGUCUCUUCUCGGCUGCCACGACACAUCAGCUUCUGGAUCUUCACCAGGAGAAGUUGCUGGGCCCUGAGGGAGAGGAAGGACGACAGCUGUAUGACAGCCGUGUUCAUACUCUGACCUGCUGUAGCUGGGGAUGGUGCCCUUCUCCAGGUCCUUGUCGGUAUACGGGUCUACACGCGCACACAGCCACUCACACUUGCCCUGGUACCGUGUGUCCAAAACAUGGAGCACUUCGUCACACCGGACGCUCAGUGAGCAGCUGUCUAACUGG